rnacentral:tRNA from 2 species
GCCUCGAUAGCUCAGUCGGUAGAGCAGCGGACUGAAAAUCCGCGUGUCGGUGGUUCGAUUCCGCCUCGAGGCACCA